AUCUGCAGUGAUUCUUCUGAAGCUUUCCAGUUCCAUAUAGUCUGUUUCUUCUGGUCUUUCUCUUUCAGGUUCAAGAACAUUCGAGGGGUGGAGAUAGUGCGAAAGAGCGGCAGAAGCAAACGAGCAAAACGACGGAACGAAUGGGGGGGGAGCAGAGCGAAGAAGGGCAGAUAAGAAACUUGCGAGAUAAGAACAAGAGCAAAGAAUUUUCUUUUAAAUUACUUUCACAUGUUCAAAGUUUGCAGCAUGGAAUUAUGGGCGGGGGAAAAAGAACAAAUAGAACAACAAAUAAUAAGUAAAUGUGUGUAAGUAUUUGUGGAGGAAUGAUCUACAUUUUUGCUGGCGGGAAAAAAAAUACAAAUUAUUGAUAUAAACUUCCACUUUUGCGCUGUGCCUUGUUUCGUUUGUGCCUUUUUGUAUUGCUUUUGUUUCUUUUUCAUUUUUUGUACAUUUGUGCUUUAUGGUUUUUGCCGUUGGCAAACCAAAAAUUCCAUUAAAAUGUCAAGUGACAGUUUUCAGUAGCCUCUUUCUUCUUUCCCUCGUUAUUUCGCAUUUACAGUUGCAGUAUUUUUGAUUUGAGCAUUGAAUUGAAUGCGCAUUUUACAGCGCUAUUUUUUUUUAACCAUGUGGCAAAUGGUAAAAAUCCAAACAUUUAAAAUACUUAUUCAGUAUUUCAAUAUUUACAGCCAGAUGUUUUGCAGCUCUAACCUUAGAAAAUAUUGGCCAUCAAAGGGUUAAGGAGGAAAAAUCAAUAUGCGGAUUGCGAUUGCAUUUAAAUGAACACGAAAGCGGCAAAAAAAAAAACACAAGAAAAUCCAUGAGACGUACAAACAUACAGUUGUGCUUCAAAUUAUAGUUUUAACCGUAAUAAAAAAUUGUAACUAAAAACAAGCAUUCUGUGUACAAAAAUUAAAAAAAAAAA